rnacentral:lncRNA from 1 species
GGGGUGUCGGGAUUGGGUGUUUUUAAGCUCGGGAUUUGGGGAUUGAUUCUUACGGGAUCCGGGGAUAUAUUUUUGAUUUCGGGAUUUCGGGAUAUGAAUUUCUUUAAAUUCUGCAUCUCGGGAUUUUGGGAUCAGGACCCUUCUGACCACCCCUCAAAUUAGCCUUAGUCGGUCUUAGUCAUUUAUAAAUGAUUCAUAUCCUACCAUUGGCAUGUUAAUAAGGCUCUCAAAAGAAAAAGCACUGAUGGAUUGUCAUUUUAU